rnacentral:lncRNA from 10 species
GGGCGCUCCAGCCCUGAAAGCUGCUCUCGUCUUCCGUUUUCCAGGAGGACAGAGUGGCCCUCAGGACAGGCAGGGACAGGUGGUACUCGCAAAGGUCAAUCAGUGAGGCCACCUGCUCAUGAAGUGGCAGCAUCUUGAACUUCCUCUGAGCCAGGAAAAAGAAAGCUUCUACGAAGGCCUGCAGACACAUCCCUGUGAACAAAGAGACUGGAUGAGGGGGUGCACACAGCUGCCCUACGCUGCCCUGGGAAGGCCCACCUCCAGCCACAAGGAUGUCAGCAAGAGCUAGCCCCGCUCCCCACCACCGUCUCCAUUCCAGAAACUCCUAACAGGGCUAACUCACUCACAGAGUGCCCACUGUGCCCACCAGGCACUAGCUGGGCAUUUUAUGGCCAUGUGCAGACCAAAUCUCUCACACAGACCUAUGAAGGAAGUUCGGUUAACCCUAUUUUGCAGAUGAGGAAGUUGAGUCUCAGAGACACGGAGAGAGCUGGGGAAAGUUAUAUAAGAUUUAAACCUAGCUCAAAGCCUUGUAAAAUGUCCACAAUGAAAUGCCCCCAUUAAAACCCAGCUCCUGGCUGGGCGCAGUGGCUCAUGCCUAUAAUCCCAGCACUUUGGGAGGCCGAGGUGCGUGGAUCACUUGAGGUCAGUAGUUCGAGACCAGCCUGGCCAACAUGGAGAAACCUCAUCUCUACUAAAAGUACAAAAAUUAACUGGGCGUGGUGGCAUAUGCCUGUAAUCCCAGCUACUCAGGAGGCUAAGGCAGGAGAAUUAUUUGAACCUGGGAGGCAGAGGUUGCAGUGAGCUGAGAUCGUGUCACUGUACUCCAGCCUGGGUGACAGAGUAAGACUCCAUCUCAGAAAACAAAAACAAAAAAACCCAGCUUCUUAACUUUUAUAAUCAGGGAACAAGGUUAUGAAGAUAUGAAGAUAAACCCGGUUUGACGGCAAAGUUCUAUCUGAUAACAGAGAUGCUGGUUACAUGGGUGUGUGCGUUUGUCAAAACUCAAGUUGUGCCUUAAGGCUCAUGCAUUUUGCUGUCUGUAAAUUUUACCCCCCAAAGUAAAAUAAACCCAACUGUCAUUUCUCUGGCCCAAACCAUAUUCUGGAAAGAAUAAAUAGUCAUCCCUACGACACCCC